CAUAGCCGGCCUUAUUGCGCCAAUGACGGGACGAAACAGGUUUCGAACUGGUUAGUCGUUUACACAAAUCAGUUACUUGACAUGCUCCAACAGAAGGUAGUCGAAUGGAGUCAAUCACUUGAUGGACGUGAUAUGAACUUUUAGUAUUGGACGUUCGGUAUUGGCAAGGGGAACCAAAAAGUUUUAGAAAAGUAUUGAACAAUAAUGAUUCUUCGCAUGUAAAGUACAACAGUCAGGGAGUAUUUCUCGCUGCUGGAUUGCUUGCACUUCAAACCGACAAUUUCGCAACUGUCCGCCGAAGAAGAUUUGCUGAACCCCUAAAAAGGCACCAUUUGCUUUUACAUAUAUAUAUAUACCUAUAUCGGUGUAAAUGAGUAUGUUCAUGCAAUCGCCACGCUACUUGUAAUGGCUGUUCAAAAGAUGCCAGAGCGAAGUGCACCGUUACGCUGUAAUUCGCAGUCCUCCUCAAUGCAAUUAAAAACAAAAUUAUACCAACAAUCAUGAUUACGUAUUUAUGUCGGAGUCGGGAAUACUUUUACUCUAUUUAUUUUUAUUUUUUAAGUGACAUUUAAAUCGGUUAAAAUGUAUCAAAACAACUUCGAUUCCUCCUCGUUUGCUGUUUCCGAUUUCAUUUAAAUGAUGUUCUUGUUAUUGUUGUGCUUCUGUGCUGAAUGCAACUGCAGAGCUUAACCACUCAAAGGACAAUUACUGCAGCGAGGCAAUAAUUUGUUUUCGAUCCAUGUUGUGACAUAAUUGCGUGACAGUGCGGUAACCUGGAUGGGAGAACGAGUGUGAGGAAAUGUGCAAAUCACUGAGUGUUCUCUGGUAACUAUGGGCGGAAUGCUGUAUGUAUUGUAUAUAUGAGGAAGACUAUUAAUAAUAUCUUUCGGUGUAAUGCAUCCUUUGGGCGUUCUUUUCGAUAUCUCUGUAAUCAAAG